rnacentral:rRNA from 1 species
ACGAACGCUGGCGGCGUGCUUAACACAUGCCAGUCGAACGGAAAGGCCUUUUCGGAGGUACUCGAGUGGCGAACGGGUGAGUAACACGUGGGUGAUCUGCCCUGCACUCUGGGAUAAGCCUGGGAAACUGGGUCUAAUACCGGAUAGGACCGCACUUUAGUGUGUGAGGUGGAAAGUUUUUUCGGUGUAGGAUGAGCCCGCGGCCUAUCAGCUUGUUGGUGGGGUAAUGGCCUACCAAGGCGGCGACGGGUAGCCGGACUGAGAGGUUGGUCGGCCGCAUUGGGACUGAGAUACGGCCCAGACUCCUACGGGAGGCAGCAGUGGGGAAUAUUGCACAAUGGGCGCAAGCCUGAUGCAGCGACGCCGCGUGGGGGAUGACGGCCUUCGGGUUGUAAACUCCUUUCGCCAGGGACGAAGCGUUUUGUGACGGUACCUGGAGAAGAAGCACCGGCUAACUACGUG